rnacentral:rRNA from 1 species
AGCGAACGCUGGCGGCAGGCCUAACACAUGCAAGUCGAACGAACUCUUCGGAGUUAGUGGCGGACGGGUGAGUAACACGUGGGAACGUGCCUUUAGGUUUGGAAUAACUCAGGAAACUUGUGCUAAUACCGAAUGUGCCCUUCGGGGGAAAGAUUUAUCGCCUUUAGAGCGGCCCGCGUCUGAUUAGCUAGUUGGUGAGGUGAAGGCUCACCAAGGCGACGAUCAGUAGCUGGUCUGAGAGGAUGAUCAGCCACAUUGGGGCUGAGACACGGCCCAAACUCCUACGGGAGGCAGCAGUGGGGAAUCUUGCGCAAUGGGCGAAAGCCUGACGCAGCCAUGCCGCGUGAAUGAUGAAGGUCUUAGGAUUGUAAAAUUCUUUCACCGGGGACGAUAAUGACGGUACCCGGAGAAGAAGCCCCGGCUAACUUCGUGCCAGCCGCCGCAGUAA